rnacentral:rRNA from 2 species
AAAUUGAAGAGUUUGAUCAUGGCUCAGAUUGAACGCUGGCGGCAGGCCUAACACAUGCAAGUCGAACGGUAACAGGAAGCAGCUUGCUGUU